rnacentral:rRNA from 1 species
AACGCGAAGAACCUUACCUACCCUUGACAUGUCAGGAAUUUUGCAGAGAUGCAGAAGUGCCGAAAGGAACCUGAACACAGGUGCUGCAUGGCUGUCGUCAGCUCGUGUUGUGAGAUGUUGGGUUAAGUCCCGUAACGAGCGCAACCCUUAUCCUUAGUUGCCAUCAUUUAGUUGGGGACUCUAAGGAGACUGCUGGUGAAGAACCGGAGGAAGGCGGGGACGAGGUCAAGUCAUCAUGGCCUUUAUGGGUAGGGCCACACACGUGCUACAAUGGGGCAUACAGAGGGAAGCCAACUCGCAAGAGGGAGCCAAUCCCAGAAAGUGCUUCGUAGUCCGGAUUGGAGUCUGCAACUCGACUCCAUGAAGUCGGAAUCGCUAGUAAUCGCGGAUCAGAAUGCCGCGGUGAAUACGUUCCCGGGCCUUGUACACACCGAGACGUA